rnacentral:rRNA from 1 species
GUGCCAGCAGCCGCGGUAAUACGGAGGGUGCAAGCGUUAAUCGGAAUUACUGGGCGUAAAGGGCGCGUAGGCGGCCUUGCAAGUCGGAUGUGAAAUCCCUCGGCUCAACCGGGGAACUGCAUUCGAAACUGCUUGGCUAGAGUACUGGAGAGGGUGGCGGAAUUCCCGGUGUAGGAGUGAAAUCCGUAGAGAUCGGGAGGAACACCAGUGGCGAAGGCGGCCACCUGGACAGUAACUGACGCUGAGGCGCGAAAGCGUGGGUAGCAAACAGGAUUAGAUACCCUUGUAGUCC